GAGUAUGGAGUUCUCUGGAACUGUUCCUCCCCAGCGUGGGCAACUGGUCAGCUUGGAGAAUAUGGAGUUGCCUUCAACACUUGCUAAUCUAACCAAAUUAACAGAAUUUCGGAUUAGCAGCAACAAUUUCACUGGAAAAAUACCCAAUUUUAUUCAUGGUUGGAAGCAACUUCAGAAAUUAGACCUCAGCUUCAACAAACUAGAAGGAAUUGUUCCAAACCUAGAAGUUUUAACAAAAAUGGAGCUUAUGUAAGCAAGUUAAAAUCGAGAAAACCUGCCUAUUUUUGGCACAUAGGAAACCAGCUUGUAGAUCAAUGGGCUAAAAUAUAUGCAUGAUUGGUCCAUUCUUGGUAGUUUACCUGAACUAUGACUAAACUCGCAUGCCCAAGAAUGUAAGUUUGCCAAGAAGGUUAAGAGUUUUGAAUGGGAUAAGAAAUUGGGCUGUGUACAAGGACGACGUCUUAUGUAUUUCACCUAUGGUUUAUGGUUUACCCUCAACAAAAUUCAAACUACAAUUUUCUUCAAUAUGAUUCUACAUAACAUUUUGAGAUAGUAACAGCUUGCAUGUCUUAAUAAUUUUGAGACUUAUGUCAUUUUCUGUUUAGGUAUUUGGCAACGAACUUGCUUACUUGGCCUA